UCUGUGUUUUCUUCUUGGUGGUUACCUGCACUGAUAAUCAGUGUGGGGAUCAUGUGAUCUGCAUUGUGUGGCUGCUUGUCUUGGGUCACAUGAGGCAUGUCACAUGACACAUUAGGAGAUUAUAAAGUUUGGCUUGUGGAGUUCACACUCUCCUGCUGCUGCCAUUUGCCACUGCAACUAGACUCCCGUCAUACAGGGUGACUGCUAGAACAAUGUGUUCCAUUCUUUAUGAAGGACACAGGUGACUGCGUGGCAUUUGAAGGACUUGUGACCUCCUAUUGAGUUGUUGGGCUGCAGACACUCUGCACUGGAGUGCCCCAUUUUAUCUUCCUGGGUUAUUGUGCUGCGGGGAGUAUUGAACACUCUUGCAAAGGACCAGGCCAGCCACUGUUUUAUUGUCAGUGUACAAGUCUUUUUUUUUUUAGUUUGUUUGUUGGUUGUUUUGUUUGCCUUUGGCUUUGUCCUUUUUUUUUUGUCCUUGGUCUGGUGUAACCCUGCCUUGACCAAGCCAGCGCGGUGGUCAUUGUGUUGGGAGCUGGCUGUUCUCCUCUUUUUGUCUCUGUAUAGGUUCUCUGUACAAGGCCGGAUCUGCACCUCACUACUGCUCCUUUCAGUUGGGGGCUGCACUGAGGGGACACUAUUUUGGGCCUCCUAGGAGAGGAGCUGUGGGUGCCGUGCCGACCCGACCUUAUUAGUUUGAGAAGCUCCAGCCAGUUUCCCUUCGUCUCUUUUUCACAUUAGCAAUUGUACCUAUUCAAAACUGUAAUAAAUUUGAGCUUGUGUAAA